ensembl:misc_RNA Metazoa_SRP Metazoan signal recognition particle RNA
GCUGGGUGUGGUGGCGCAUGCCUGUAAUCCCAGCUACUUGGGAGGCUGAGGCAGGAGAAUCACUUGAACCUGGGAGGCAGAGGGGUGCAGUGAGCCGAGAUCGUGCCACUGCACUCCAGCCUGGGCGACAGGGUGAGACUCGGUCUCAA